rnacentral:lncRNA from 1 species
ACCGAAGCGUUUGCGUGGGGCCCGCCGGGCGGCGCUAGCAGCCUCGUCUCCCGAGGGGACGUUUCUAUUUGGGCCGCCUCUGUGCGAGCUGCCUAGCCUAAGGACACCGAGUUUUCCUUAGAAGCAACCGCGGGACACGCCCCUCUGUAGAGAAAGAAGACCAACAAGAUCCUCCUCCUGCACUUGGGAGCUGGAGGAUGUGCUCAUGUUUUGGCAGGCGUGGUGAGCUUGAGCAGGAAGGCUUGAGAGUCCAAAGCAUCCUGGGCUACAUCUGUCUCAAAUGGAAUCUGAAAACUGAACUAAUGACGUAUGGAGCCAAAAGCACAGCUAAGAGAGUAAUUCCCAAGCUCGAUGUUUUAUGUGUGCAACCUAAUUGGAUUUUCUCCAUACUUCAAGGAAGAAGUAAGGCGACCACCGGAGUGCUAAAGCGGAGGUCCUUUGGUAUUUGAAUUAUUUCACUGAACUAAGAUCAGGCUCGGAAAAUCUCUUUAAAACUAAGGUGAUGUUUUCAGAAAUAAAGAUCACAUAGUGGUUGCC